UACGUAGGGUGCAAGCGUUAUCCGGAUUCACUGGGUUUAAAGGGUGCGUAGGUGGGAAUGUAAGUCAGUGGUGAAAUCUCCGUGCUUAACACGGAAACUGCCAUUGAUACUAUGUUUCUUGAAUUUUCUGGAGGUUAGCGGAAUAUGUCAUGUAGCGGUGAAAUGCUUAGAUAUGACAUAGAACACCGAUUGCGAAGGCAGCUAACUACAGGGAUAUUGACACUGAGGCACGAAAGCGUGGGGAUCAAACAGG
rnacentral:rRNA from 1 species